GUCAGGUCAUCUGUUGUUUCACACCAUGUUUCCAGGUCUCAUGUAUUCAUGUCCAGCGUGUCUUAAAAGAAAUUGAGGAAAAUGGAAAAAAGUCCUCCAAAGACCUGACACAGGUCCGGAGAGAUGCAUCUGGACCUCCACUGGAUCCAUCUGCUGUUCGGUGAAGCUUCAGCACCGAUGUACUGUGGCUGUACUGUCAGAGCGCACCUGAACACAAUGCUAAUCCAGCUAAAUCAUGUUUUCUCCCUGAGAAAAAAAAGAUUAUGACGUUAUCUGCCCACCCCUCCUCCUCUACGCUUCCUCAUUUUCAAUACAUCUAUAGUUUUAAUACCAUAUAAGUCAUGAAGUAAGACAUAAAAGUGUCAAGAUGUAAAGUGAAAGGCUGUUAUAUUUGAAAGGAAAGAGGAAGGGGAGGGGGAGAGGAGUAUCAUGGUCUGUUUUCAAUGACUGAAUGAGUGAAAGUGCAGAGUAAAGAGUUCCUGCGGGGUUACCAAUGACAGCUGAUAUUGCGGAGGGAAAAGAACAAGAAACUGCUGUCACUUCUUUAAUUUAUUAUAGCAACACUGUGCUAUAAAAAAAACACAGUAUUGUAACAUGUAUUAUAGCAUUCAGCAAUAAAAAGUCAGGAUUAUGGUGCAGUAUAGAAGCUUAGUUUGCCAGUAAUAGACCACAGUUGUUCUGCGUCGAUGCUUCAGUUUUCAAUACGACUGCAUCUGAGAAAGAGUUCUUCACAUUAAUGUUAAUAAAACUAUCUGAAAACUGCAGCGAUGUGUUAUAAAUAACAAUGGGUACUUAAUAGUAAUGGUCCACUGUUAAUGUCUAAAGAUU